GAGGGUAUAGCUCAAAUGGUAAAGCAUAGGAUUAGCAUGCAUGAGAUCCUGGGUUCAAUUCCCAGUACCUCCU
rnacentral:tRNA from 1 species